UACAGUCACAUGUAAGACUGUUUAGCUGCCAGCAUUUUAACAGUGUUUAAGCCAGCUAAUGCUAACGGUAGGCUAACGUUACCUGCUGCCAAGUGUGGUGUUAACUAGCGUCACAUGUAGCGAUGCUUCUGUUGCCUCAAACGUCCUCACAGCAUCAGAGAGCAGAGC